GUGGGCGUAGCUCAAUGGCUAGAGCAUCAGGUUGUGGACCUGACGGUUGCGGGUUCGACUCCCGUCGCCCACCCCA
rnacentral:tRNA from 1 species